UAAGUUUUUAGUUUAAAGAAAAUAUUUUAUUUACAAUAAAAAGAUAAUCUUGGGGUAGAUUAGAACUU
rnacentral:tRNA from 1 species